rnacentral:rRNA from 1 species
AGUGAACGCUGGCGGUAGGCCUAACACAUGCAAGUCGAGCGGCAGCACAGUAAGAGCUUGCUCUUACAGGUGGCGAGUGGCGGACGGGUGAGGAAUACAUCGGACUCUACUUUUUCGUGGGGGAUAACGUAGGGAAACUUACGCUAAUACCGCAUACGACCUACGGGUGAAAGCAGGGGAUCUUCGGACCUUGCGCGAUUGAAUGAGCCGAUGUCGGAUUAGCUAGUUGGCGGGGUCAAGGCCCACCAAGGCGACGAUCCGUAGCUGGUCUGAGAGGCUGAUCAGCCACACUGGAACGGAAACACGGUCCAGACGCCUACGGGAGGCAGCAGUGGGGAAUAUGGGACAAUGGGCGCAAGCCUGAUCCAGCCAUACCGCGUGGGUGAAGAAGGCCUUCGGGUUGUAAAGCCCUUUUGUUGGGAAAGAAAAGCAGCAGGUUAAUACCCCGCUGUUCUGACGGUACCCAAAGAAUAAGCACCGGCUAACUUCGUG